AAUUGCCUUUGUAAUUACGGAA
rnacentral:siRNA from 1 species